rnacentral:lncRNA from 1 species
AUGUUCAGCAGAAGAAUGUACUUUGUAGAAGAAAUGCUUAUCUCUUGUGUUUUGUGCUGGACUGAUCCUCUAGUGUUAGUGGGAGAGAUCACUUGGUUAUUUGCCAGGUUAUCUGAUGAACAAAAUGGGAAUAUAUGUAACUUUGAGAUUACCUGGAUUGGCUUUCUAGGACAAGUUACUGAGAAACACUUGCUUUCUUUAUGCCUACCAAAAAGUUGGUCUAUUUUUAAAUGUUUUCUUUGUCAGCAAUGGAAAAAGCACAGGAUCUUUUUCUUGCAAGAACAUAAACCAGUAUUUACCAGGAAAGUUGCUUUAUCUCUUGGAAAGUACCAUGCCAAAUUUCAUUGUGCAAGAGCUCUCAGUAAGAAUCUUUUUUUCUGGUUUCAUUAUGUUUAUAAGUAUCUGGGCCAAAUUUAUUUGUAGCAUAAUUUUACUGAAUUUUUUUUGAGACUUUCACAGUGGUAUUCUACCUCUAAACUCGAAUUUGAGAAGAAAAGAAGAAUUGGGUAUUGGUUUGUCUAUUUCUUGCUGUCUUCUGUGUACAAUGGUGGGUGGUUAAACUGGUACAGUUCAUAUAUUUUCUAUAAGUGUUUACAUUUUGGAUUUAUGGUUUCUUAAGUAUUUUGUUUGUAUUGCUGAGUUUUGAAUUUUAAAUAAAUGAUUUGUACAUUUAUUGAAAAUGUUAUGG